rnacentral:misc_RNA from 1 species
GGUAGACUCGCAGGAAGUCUACCGAGUAAGAGAAAGAGGAAAGACGGCCAAAUUGCGGGAAAGGGGACAACAGCCGUUCAGUACCAAGUCUCAGGGAAACUUCAGAUGGCCUCGCAAAGGGUAUGGUAAUAAGCUGACGGACAUGGUCCUAACCACGCAGUCAAGUCCUAAGUCAACAGCCUUGGCUGUUGAUAUGGAUGCAUUUCGAUCCAACCGAGGCUCAUUCUUGUAAUUCAUGGCCGUCGGGGAGGCACUUCGGUGCCUCUGAUAACAACUUGAAAUAAGGUUGGCUCAACGGCGCGUGACAGACAAUUCGCGCUGGAACUGCAGUCGGACCU